rnacentral:tRNA from 1 species
GCCAAUGUAGCUCAAUGGUAGAGCAAGUGAUUUGUAAUCACUAGGUUGGGGGUUCAAUUCCCUUCAUUGGCUCCA